CCUACGGGUGGCAGCAGUAGGGAAUAUUGCUCAAUGGGGGAAACCCUGAAGCAGCAACGCCGCGUGGAGGAUGAAGGUUUUCGGAUUGUAAACUCCUUUUGUUAGAGAAGAUAAUGACGGUAUCUAACGAAUAAGCACCGGCUAACUCCGUGCCAGCAGCCGCGGUAAUACGGAGGGUGCAAGCGUUACUCGGAAUCACUGGGCGUAAAGAGCGCGUAGGCGGGAUAGCAAGUCAGAUGUGAAAUCCUAUGGCUUAACCAUAGAACUGCAUUUGAAACUGUUAUUCUAGAGUAUGGGAGAGGUAAGUGUAAUUCUUGGUGUAGGGGUGAAAUGCGUAGAGAUCAAGAGGAAUACUCAUUGCGAAGGCGACCUGCUAGAACAUAACUGACGCUGAUGCGCGAAAGCGUGGGGAGCAAACAGGAUUAGAUACCCUAGUAGUC
rnacentral:rRNA from 1 species